rnacentral:rRNA from 1 species
AGCUUGCUAGAACUUAGAGACAGGUGCUGCACGGCUGUCGUCAGCUCGUGUCGUGAGAUGUUGGGUUAAGUCCCGCAACGAGCGCAACCCACGUAUUUAGUUGCUAACGGUUCGGCCGAGCACUCUAAAUAGACUGCCUUCGUAAGGAGGAGGAAGGUGUGGACGACGUCAAGUCAUCAUGGCCCUUAUGCCCAGGGCGACACACGUGCUACAAUGGCAUAUACAAUGAGACGCAAUACCGCGAGGUGGAGCAAAUCUAUAAAAUAUGUCCCAGUUCGGAUUGUUCUCUGCAACUCGAGAGCAUGAAGCCGGAAUCGCUAGUAAUCGUAGAUCAGCCAUGCUACGGUGAAUACGUUCCCGGGUCUUGUACUCACCGCCCGUCACACCAUGGGAGUUGAUUUCACUCGAAGCCGGAAUACUAAACUAGUUACCGUCCACAGUGGAAUCAGCGACUGGGGUGAAGUCGUAACAAGGUAACCGUAGGAGAACCUGCGGUUGGAUCACCUCCUUU